AACGAACGCUGGCGGCAUGCCUAACACAUGCAAGUCGAACGAGACCUUCGUGUCUAGUGGCGCACGGGUGCGUAACGCGUGGGAACCUGCCCUUAUGUUCGGAAUAACUCCCCGAAAGGGGUGCUAAUACCGGAUAAUGUCUUCUGACCAAAGAUUUAUCGCCUUUGUAUGGGCCCGCGUUGGAUUAGCUAGUUGGUAGGGUAAAAGCCUACCAAGGCGAGGAUCCAUAGCUGGUCUGAGAGGAUGAGCAGCCACACUGGGACUGAGACACGGCCCAGACUCCUACGGGAGGCAGCAGUGGGGAAUAUAGGAAAAUGGGCGAAAGCCUGAUCCAGCAAUGCCGCGUGAGUGAUGAAGGUGUUAGGGUUGUAAAGCACUUUUACCCGGGAUGAUAAUGACGGUACCGGGAGAAUAAGCACCGGCUAACUCCGUG
rnacentral:rRNA from 1 species